UCUUGUUAUAUUUCGUAAGCUAAGCAGGUUUGGGCCUGGGUCAGUAUUUAGAUGGGAGACAUCCAAGAAAAACCAAGGUGGAGCAGGAA
ensembl:rRNA 5S_rRNA 5S ribosomal RNA